GGAAGGAUGACAGAGCGGUCUAAUGUGACGGUCUCGAAAACCGUUGUACGCUUUCGCGUACCAUGGGUUCGAAUCCCAUUCCUUCCGCCA
rnacentral:tRNA from 1 species